rnacentral:rRNA from 1 species
GCCUGCAUGAANCUGGAAUUGCUAGUAAUCAUAGGUCAGCAUACUAUGGUGAAUACGUUCCCGGGCCUUGUACACACCGCCCGUCACACCAUGAGAGUUGAGAAUACCCGAAGUCCAUGUCAAAGUGGCCGAAGGUAGGCUUGAUGAUUGGGGUGAAGUCGUAACAAGGUAUC